GUGGGGAAUAUUGCACAAUGGAGGAAACUCUGAUGCAGCGACGCCGCGUGAGUGAAGAAGUAAUUCGUUAUGUAAAGCUCUAUCAGCAGGGAAGAAAAAGGACGGUACCUGACUAAGAAGCACCGGCUAAAUACGUGCCAGCAGCCGCGGUAAUACGUAUGGUGCAAGCGUUAUCCGGAUUUACUGGGUGUAAAGGGAGAGUAGGUGGCAUGGCAAGUCAGAAGUGAAAGCCCGGGGCUCAACCCCGGGACUGCUUUUGAAACUGUCAGGCUGGAGUGCAGGAGAGGUAAGUGGAAUUCCUAGUGUAGCGGUGAAAUGCGUAGAUAUUAGGAGGAACACCAGUGGCGAAGGCGGCUUACUGGACUGUAACUGACACUGAGGCUCGAAAGCGUGGGGAGCAAACAGG
rnacentral:rRNA from 1 species